rnacentral:rRNA from 1 species
GACGAACGCUGGCGGCGUGCUUAACACAUGCAAGUCGAGCGGAAAGGCUCCUUCGGGGGUACUCGAGCGGCGAACGGGUGAGUAACACGUGAGUAACCUGUCCUUGGCUUUGGGAUAACCCUCGGAAACGGGGGCUAAUACCGGAUAUGACCUUGYCCUGCAUGGGGUGGGGUGGAAAGUUUUUUCGGCUAGGGGUGGGCUCGCGGCCUAUCAGCUUGUUGGUGGGGUGAUGGCCUACCAAGGCGACGACGGGUAGCCGGCCUGAGAGGGCGACCGGCCACACUGGGACUGAGACACGGCCCAGACUCCUACGGGAGGCAGCAGUGGGGAAUCUUGCACAAUGGGCGGAAGCCUGAUGCAGCGACGCCGCGUGAGGGAUGACGGCCUUCGGGUUGUAAACCUCUUUCAGCAGGGACGAAGCGUGAG